AUAGGUGUGGUCCUUCUGGUGUUCUACCAACAGCUCCUCUCUCUGCCAAAGUUGUGAGUGAGGAGGUCAAGCCCAUGAUGAUGUCAGAAAAUUACCCAGAGACAGGAGGCCCAUGCUAGGGUUCAGAAAGCACGUUGUCAAAAUAAAACUAGGAUUGCAUGUUUCCUUUGGAAAUGAUGGGGUAAGGAUAGGGGAUGAAUGGAGCUCAGGGUUCAAGAGCCUCUGAGCAUCCACCAUUGGGUGAUAAGAGGAUAAGUAAGUCAGAUCUCUGCUAGUAUGGAGAGCCACCUGAGAAGGAAGGGCAAGAAUGAAGACACAGGUUGAUGGGCUUGUGAGCCUGGGACUUAUAGGUGAUGCCAUAUUGGAAGAAGAACAUCAGUGGAAAGAGGGUUGGGCAGUGACUCUGGUACAGAAUUUUCCCAGCUAGAGAAAACUCAGCCUUUUCAGAAUUAGCUGUACAUAAAACCAUUUGCCUUGGUGAUGCAGGUUAAAAAUAGUGGUAAUUGCCAGCUCCCUGAGUGUGGCCAAUUAUUACCAUUAUUAUAAUUGGACUGGAAAUUAACCCAUUGUGUAGGGAGCCUGCAACAUAUCCAAACUCGUUUCAGGCCAGCUGGUUUGUAAAAUGCCAGUAUUAGCCUGGUUGGUGUUUUCUUGGAAGAACUCAAAGCAGAGGUGGGGGGUGGGGAGAAUGGUGCCAGCUGUAGCCCCCAUUCCUUCCAAGCCUUUGGUAGCAGUUCUGAAAUCUGAAGCAGGGAGAUAUUGUGCCACAGGGCUGAGGGCUCUGCCCUUCCUGGUGGAGUGGCAUCAGGCCUGGUCACCCUGAUGUAUGAUGUCAUGGCUGUGACAGUGAGACCUGUGUGUUCUAGAGGGUCUGAAGCAGUCCAAGGUCUCCAAGAAACCCAUUUCUUUUCUUUAUUUCUCCCUCUUUUUUUUCCCCACUUUUUAGGGCCACACCCACAGCAUAUGGAAGUUCCCAGGCUAGGAGUCGAAUCAGAGCUGCAGCUGACAGCCUAUGCCACAGCCACAGCAAUACCAGCCAGAUGCAAGCCGUGUCUGCAACCUAUAACACAACUCACGGCAAUGCCAGAUCCUUAACCCAGGGAGUGAAUCCAUGUCCUUAUGGAUAGUAGUGGGGUUUGUUACUGCUGAACCACAAAGAGAACUCCCUGAGGACCCAAAAUUGAUCUAAAUUCUGAGGGUCACAUCGAAGGUUUGCCCAUUUGGGAAAAUCAGAUCUAAUGGAAAGAAAUUGCUUUGCACUACAUGGUGAGGGGAGAAUAAAAGGCUGGGUAUUUCUCUUGGCCAUCUAAGGCAGAUUGGGACUAAUGUGGGCCUGCAAGAUACCUGGGAUACAAAAUUUAAGAGGGUCUCAAUCCCAGGUUUACAGAAGUGCCGUGUCAGUGCUUGCAUAGACCUGAGAGUACGGGCCUCCUUAAAUUUUGUCCCUGGUCCCAAUGCUGCUCUCUGAAUGCCUGACCCUGGUCCUUACUCAGAGGAGAAAGUGAGCAGGAUGCCUGUGAUGGGAGUGACCUGGCAGGGGGCUCAGGAGGAUGGAGGCUUUUGUGGAAACUCGGUUGCCUCCCUCAACAUUCAUUUCUCCUUACCCCUUAGGAACAAGAUCCUGAGUUUAUUUAGGGUGAUGGGCAAAGAACUGAGUUUACUAAAAGUGCAAAAAAGAGGGGUUCCCAUUGCGGCUCAGCAGUAACGAAUCUGACUAGUAUCCACAAGGACACAGGUUCGAUCCCUGGCCUUACUCAGUGGGUUGAGGUUUUGCCAUGAGCUGUGGUGUAGGUUGCAGAAGAGGCUUGGACACUGUGUUGCUAUGGCUGUGGUGUAGGCUGGUAACGACAGCUCGGAUUUAACCCCUAGCCUGAGAACUUCCAUAGGCUGCAGGUGUGGCCCUAAAAAGCAAAAAAAAAAAAAAAAAAAAAAAAAAAAAGUGCAAAAACUAUAGAGGCUUUUUUCCCUUUCUUUUGCUGUAUUGACUUUUCUCCUUCUUUUCACCUGUAGUUUGAAAGUUCAAAGGGCCUCUUGGACUAUGAGGUGACCUUAAGAAUGGAAGUUGUGUACUAGGGAGACACAAUAGAAAGAGAAAUCUGAGUCCUUAAUGUCAGUAUGGAGCUGUUAAUGAUGCUGUUAUUACAUCUCAUACAAGACAGGUCUUGAUAGAUAUGGAAUCAUGACUCUGAAGGACAAAAGUAACAGGUUUCAAAUCUUCUUCCUAAGAAGGGCCAAGCAGGACUUGAGACCCAGAACCACCUGAUUUUGAACCUGUGCGUUUAGCUGACACCUUGUUCAGCCAUGAGCAGAGGGUACUUGUGGCCAGGCUUUGGAAAACAAGCUGUACAUGGGCCUAUUUGGGGCAGGGCUGGAAGUCAGCCCAUUCCCUGAUCAAGCUGAAAGGUUUCUGCCAAGCCCGCUUGAACAGCUUGUGCUCCCUGGACCUGAAGCCUGCUCAUUGGCUCUGCCCAUCCCCACCCUACCUCUGCAGGCCUGGCCUAAGAAUUAUCCUCCCUGCUGGGGCCUUCCAGCUCUCAGCUUUCACUGCAUUGUGCUGGUCCUGCCUGCUUACCCUCGAGGGAAGCACUCCCCAGGGCUUUCUUUUCCAACCUCCACAUGCCCAACUAGAUUAGGUUUCUAUGAAAUAUGUAUGCUUUUUCCAACAGUCCUGGGAAGUCUCUAUCUGCCAGGUUCAGCUGGACAGGCUGAUAAGUCAGGUUGAGGAAAGUUACUCUUUUAUUCAGCUAUCUGCCCGUCACCAAGGGGGAGGGAGGGGAGUUCUAGCUGGAGUAUAUUCCUGUUUCAAGGGCAGCUCAGGAUCAGAAAGGCCACCCAAGGGCAGGUAAAGUGGCUUGUAAGGAAAACCAUCCAGCCAAGAGAUGGGACAGGGUGUAUCUGGUGUGAUUGGAGGCCCCCCACUUUAUCCCAGUGCUCUCAAACUUCCCACUUGACUCCACUCCCAGAUACUCUGCUGACACCAGAGGCUCAUUCCUUGAAGUCUUGAGGGCUUUGAGACCUUCGGCAAGUUUCCCAGCCUGGUUUAAAUUUUGACUUGUGUAUUGUGUUUAUCUUAGGGUUCAGAUGUGCCUGAUCACGUGGAGAGCUAAUGGGGGUGGGGAGGCUAAGUAAGAGUGUCUGGGGAGCUAGUUGUAGGAAAAUUAAAGGAGUUUGGGGGGGGAAGGAGCUCAAGAUGAGGGAAGAGAAAGUUGAAGCAUAUAGUUUGUGGGUGAGAAAUAGCAUAUGAGUGAUCCCACUCCUGGGUAUACAUCCAGGAAAGACAAAAACCUCUAAUUAAAAAAGACACUUGCACCCCAAUGUUAAUAGCAGCACUAUUUGCAAUAUUCAAGACAUGGAAACAACCUAAGUGUCCAUCAACAGAGGAAUGGAUAAAAAAGAUGUGAUAUAUAUACAUAACAGAAUAUUCGAUGGAAUGUUACUUUGUCAUAAAAAAGAAUGAAAUAAUGCCAUUUGCAGCAACAUGGAUAGACCUAGACAUGAUCAUACUAAGUGAAGUAAACCAGAGAAAGACAAAUAUCAUGAUUUCACUUCUAUGUGGAAUCUGAAAAACUGAUACAAGUGAACUUAUUUAUACAACAGAAACAGACCCAUGGACAUAGGAAACAAACUUAUGGUUACAAAGGGAUCAGGUGGUGGGGCGAAUUGGGGGUUUGGAAUUGGCAUAUGCACACUAUUGUAUAUGGAAUGAAUGGUCAACAAGUACCUGUUGUAUAGCACAGGGAAAUCUACUCAGUAUUCUGGGAUAAUCUACAUG
rnacentral:lncRNA from 1 species